UACGUAGGGUGCAAGCGUUGUCCGGAAUUAUUGGGCGUAAAGAGCUCGUAGGCGGUCUGUCGCGUCGGCUGUGAAAACUCGGGGCUCAACUCCGAGCUUGCAGUCGAUACGGGCAGGCUAGAGUUCGGCAGGGGAGACUGGAAUUCCUGGUGUAGCGGUGAAAUGCGCAGAUAUCAGGAGGGACACCGGUGGCGAAGGCGGAUCAUCUGGGCCGUACUGACUCUGAGGAGCGAAAGCGUGGGAGCGAACAGGAUUAGAACCUACGGUAGU
rnacentral:rRNA from 1 species